rnacentral:rRNA from 1 species
GGCUCAGGAUGAACGCUAGCUACAGGCUUAACACAUGCAAGUCGAGGGGCAUCAGGAAGAAAGCUUGCUUUCUUUGCUGGCGACCGGCGCACGGGUGAGUAACACGUAUCCAACCUGCCCUUUACUCGGGGAUAGCCUUUCGAAAGAAAGAUUAAUACCCGAUAGCAUAAUGAUUCCGCAUGGUUUCAUUAUUAAAGGAUUCCGGUAAAGGAUGGGGAUGCGUUCCAUUAGGUUGUUGGUGAGGUAACGGCCCACCAAGCCUUCGAUGGAUAGGGGUUCUGAGAGGAAGGUCCCCCACAUUGGAACUGAGACACGGUCCAAACUCCUACGGGAGGCAGCAGUGAGGAAUAUUGGUCAAUGGGCGCUAGCCUGAACCAGCCAAGUAGCGUGAAGGAUGAAGGCUCUAUGGGUCGUAAACUUCUUUUAUAUAAGAAUAAAGUGCAGUAUGUAUACUGUUUUGUAUGUAUUAUAUGAAUAAGGAUCGGCUAACUCCGUGCCAGCAGCCGCGGUAAUACGGAGGAUCCGAGCGUUAUCCGGAUUUAUUGGGUUUAAAGGGAGCGUAGGUGGACUGGUAAGUCAGUUGUGAAAGUUUGCGGCUCAACCGUAAAAUUGCAGUUGAUACUGUCAGUCUUGAGUACAGUAGAGGUGGGCGGAAUUCGUGGUGUAGCGGUGAAAUGCUUAGAUAUCACGAAGAACUCCGAUUGCGAAGGCAGCUCACUGGACUGCAACUGACACUGAUGCUCGAAAGUGUGGGUAUCAAACAGGAUUAGAUACCCUGGUAGUCCACACAGUAAACGAUGAAUACUCGCUGUUUGCGAUAUACAGUAAGCGGCCAAGCGAAAGCAUUAAGUAUUCCACCUGGGGAGUACGCCGGCAACGGUGAAACUCAAAGGAAUUGACGGGGGCCCGCACAAGCGGAGGAACAUGUGGUUUAAUUCGAUGAUACGCGAGGAACCUUACCCGGGCUUAAAUUGCAGUGGAAUGAUGUGGAAACAUGUCAGUGAGCAAUCACCGCUGUGAAGGUGCUGCAUGGUUGUCGUCAGCUCGUGCCGUGAGGUGUCGGCUUAAGUGCCAUAACGAGCGCAACCCUUAUCUUUAGUUACUAACAGGUUAUGCUGAGGACUCUAGAGAGACUGCCGUCGUAAGAUGUGAGGAAGGUGGGGAUGACGUCAAAUCAGCACGGCCCUUACGUCCGGGGCUACACACGUGUUACAAUGGGGGGUACAGAAGGCAGCUAGCGGGUGACCGUAUGCUAAUCCCAAAAUCCUCUCUCAGUUCGGAUCGAAGUCUGCAACCCGACUUCGUGAAGCUGGAUUCGCUAGUAAUCGCGCAUCAGCCACGGCGCGGUGAAUACGUUCCCGGGCCUUGUACACACCGCCCGUCAAGCCAUGGGAGCCGGGGGUACCUGAAGUACGUAACCGCAAGGAUCGUCCUAGGGUA